GCUUUGUAAUAGUCGUAAAAUUGAAUUCAGUUUUACUUCCAUUUCUGCUGACAUUUCAUUGUGCACACAGAUGGUUAUAAAAAUUGAAUACAGCUUAUUUAUGGUUAUUAAACAUAUUAUUCCGAUAUGGAACUAUAUUUUACCAUUAUUCAAAAUUAUGUUUUAAUAUAAUACUUAAAAUCGCUGAUAUAAAUCAUCAUUGCCACUAAAUAGAGCCAACUAAAUUGCUUCUGCAAUCAGAAAAUAUCUGAAGACUCAAGAAAAUGAAAUACUUAUUCUUGCUGCUCGCCCUUCUUGCUGUUGUAGUACAAUUAGCCAGUGCUGAAUUAGUAAUAGACGCAUCCAAGGCCGAGAUGCGUCGUCCAAACUGCAAUUUUGUCGGAAAAUGUGAGCCACCUUGCCGAAUAGAAGCUUUACUUGGAUGUGAAUCUUGUGUUUGCGGAGGUCCCUCCUUCAAUGCUUGAUUAAGUGUAAUCUAUACAAAGAUGACGAGUUAUUCCUAUAGUAUAUUAACUGUGCACUCAAAAAGGCGGCACGUAAUGGCUCUUUGCAAUGCUCCAAUAUAAAAAACUCUCAAUUCACAAUCUUAUUCCUUUUCUAUAUUAUUUUCGAUUCAAAUAAAUAAAAAUUGAUAGUUCAUUUUGUUACAGUA